UACGAGGGGGGGCAAGUGUUGUUCGGAAUCACUGGGCGUAAAGGGCUCGUAGGCGGUUUGUCGCGUCGGGAGUGAAAACUCAGGGCUCAACCCUGAGCGUGCUUCCGAUACGGGCAGACUAGAGGUAUGCAGGGGAGAACGGAAUUCCUGGUGUAGCGGUGGAAUGCGCAGAUAUCAGGAGGAACACCGGUGGCGAAGGCGGUUCUCUGGGCCUACUGACCGUCGUGAGGAGCGAAAGCGUGGGGAGCGAACAGGAUUAGAACCCUACCGAGUCAG
rnacentral:rRNA from 1 species